rnacentral:rRNA from 1 species
AUUGAACGCUGGCGGAAUGCUUUACACAUGCAAGUCGAACGGCAGCACGGGCUUCGGCCUGGUGGCGAGUGGCGAACGGGUGAGUAAUGUAUCGGAACGUGCCCAGUCGUGGGGGAUAACGUAGUGAAAAUUACGCUAAUACCGCAUACGAUCUAUGGAUGAAAGCGGGGGAUCGCAAGACCUCGCGCGAUUGGAGCGGCCGAUAUCGGAUUAGGUAGUUGGUGGGGUAAAGGCCCACCAAGCCAACGAUCUGUAGCUGGUCUGAGAGGACGACCAGCCACACUGGAACUGAGACACGGUCCAGACUCCUACGGGAGGCAGCAGUGGGGAAUUUUGGACAAUGGGCGAAAGCCUGAUCCAGCCAUUCCGCGUGCAGGAUGAAGGCCCUCGGGUUGUAAACUGCUUUUGUACAGAACGAAAAGGUUUCUACUAAUACUAGGAGCUCAUGACGGUACUGUAAGAAUAAGCACCGGCUAACUACGUGCCAGCAGCCGCCGUAA